rnacentral:tmRNA from 1 species
GGGGGCGUCACGGCUUCGACGAAGAUGCUUGCGGCCAAGAGGCAUGCCGGGGUGCACACACCCGCAAUCGAGUGCAAAACAAUAAUUGCCAAUCAACAGAUGGCAUACGCUGCUUAAUUAAUUAAGUAGCCGUCCUCUGCGGCUUUGCCCGUGGGCCGCAGAAGGGCGUCGCACAGCGGGCUGGCUCUGGUAGCUACGUCUGGGUUAUCGGAGCGAGACCUUCAGGCUAGCGGCUUGCGUUUCUUGUCCGUUCUGAGCGUCGGCCGCGAACGUUCCAGGGUAAUGCCUGGGGCAGGAACCGGACUAAGCAUGUAGGCUCUUGACCAGUGACAUUUUCGGACGCGGGUUCGACUCCCGCCGCCUCCACCA